GAGACACCCCUCCGGGGCAAGACUUGCUUCAAUGGGGCUUUGGUGCUCACUGGGUCUGCCCCCUGAGUGUGUCCUU
rnacentral:pre_miRNA from 1 species